UACGUAGGCAGCGAGCGUUGUUCGGAAUUACUGGGCGUAAAGGGUUCGUAGGCGGUGUGGCAAGUCGGGAGUGAAAUCUCUGGGCUUAACUCAGAGGCUGCUUCCGAAACUGCCGUGCUAGAGUGCGGGAGAGGCGAGUGGAAUUGCAGGUGUAGCGGUGAAAUGCGUAGAUAUCGGAAGGAACACCAGUGGCGAAAGCGGCUUCCUGGUCCAGCACCCGACGUUCAGGCACGAAAGCGUGGGGGAGCAAACAGG
rnacentral:rRNA from 1 species